CGAUGCCGGGUCCCUGGCAGGUACCCACCCUUACGGGCAUGAGGAUGGGUCCCAAUUUUAACCCGCGGGUAACCGGGUACAGGGCCCUGCGGACAGGGAUGGAGUUCUACCCGUGGGGGCCUGAGGGGGGUAUAUUAGACUAUGAUUCCUUAAAUUACAGGGCGCAAAAACCCAAUCCUAAGUCCAAAUAUAUAUAGUAACCCUAAAUGCCAACCAGUUAUCACCCCUCUCUCUCCUACUCCACUCCAGAGGGCGGCUGGCGGUUGGGCGGCGCUGCGGCGGGUGGCCAGGCGGGCGAACGGUGGCCUCUCUCUAGAUCCCAACCCCUCUCCCUUCCCUAGUCCAGUCAGCCGACGAGGCGAUGCGGGGUGGCGAUGCAGUCGAUGCGGCUGGCUGACGAGGCGGUCGCGGCUGGACGGUGAGGCGGAACGGGGCGGCUGGACGACGAGACGGCCGUCGGCUAGGCGGCGACCGGGUUGUGGUUGAACAACAAUCCGGUCACGGCUGGAUGGUGAGGUGGAGCGGGGCGGCGAUGCGGCUGGCCGAUGAGACAGUCGUGGCUAGACGGCGAGGCGGCCGUUGGCUUGAAGGCGAGGCAGCGUCCCAUCGAGUGGCGACCGGCGAGGCGGCAUACCAGCGAGUGCCGAUGGAGAGGCGGGUGAGUGGGUCACCCAGUCGGGUUGUAGGUCCCUGGUCGGAUCGGGUAUGGGGAUGGAGUCCGACCCGCUUCUCUAUUUGGGUCCGGGUUCAGGUCCAUUCAUGUCCAACCCACCCCGUUACCAUCCAUACAUGUGGGUGAUGAGGGUAUUUGUGGCACUUCUAGAAAGAGAAAGAGGACAGAGGAGGCCUCAUCAAGCCAGGGCGCCAAGAAGAAAAAAACCCCUCCGAAGAAGAAGACCCCCCAAGAUGACCAAAACCCCAGACCCCCAAGAGGACAAAAACCCCACAGAAGAAGAAAGAAGCACGGGCUGCAUCGAAGCCUCCGGCUAGAGUAGUUAGGAAUUUAUCUAUUUGGCUGUCAUCUUGAAUGCUAUAAUAUGUGGCUGUACUAGUUUCUGAACAAGUCUUUUUUUUGGGCACAAACCUUCCUAUAUGUGUUUGGUUGUGUUCUCAUUUUGGGGCAAAUAUACUGUUUAAUGCCUGCCAGAAAUGUAUGUCCAGUUCACUACCUGCUAUUUUCAUAUAUUCCCAGCUUGAAACUUAUUGCUCAGUUUGAUAUAUAUAUGUGAGCACACAUACUGUCAGUUUCA